GGGGAUUUAGUUCAGUGGUAGAGCGUUCGCUUUGCAUGUAACCAUCUGCUUGCGAAAAGUCGCCGGUUCAAUCCCGGCAGUCUCCA